GGGGACGUGGCGGAACGGUAGACGCGGCGGACUCAAAAUCCGUUGAGGGCAACCUCGUGUGGGUUCGAUUCCCACCGUCCCUA
rnacentral:tRNA from 1 species